GCGUAGGAAUCUACCAAGUAGUGGGGGACAACAUGUGGAAACGCAUGCUAAUACCGCAUACGCCCUACGGGGAAAGCGGGCUUCGGCUCGUGCUAUUUGAUGAGCCUGCGUAAGAUUAGCUAGUUGGUGAGGUAAUGGCUCACCAAGGCGACGAUCUUUAGCUGGUCUGAGAGGAUGAUCAGCCACACUGGAACUGAGACACGGUCCAGACUCCUACGGGAGGCAGCAGUGGGGAAUAUUGCACAAUGGGGGAAACCCUGAUGCAGCCAUGCCGCGUGUGUGAAGAAGGCUCUAGGGUUG
rnacentral:rRNA from 1 species